rnacentral:tRNA from 1 species
GCGGAUGUGGUGUAGCGGCAACACAGAAUCUUGCCAAGAUUCAAUCAUGGGUUCAAAUCCCGUCUUUCGCU